GCUUAAUAACCCUUCCCUUUUCCUGUUGUUAUUGUUUCUGCUACUAGUACUGCUGCCUCUGCUGCUAUUUCUGCCACUGCUUCCAGUACUAUUGCUGCUACUUGAACCAGAAAAUCUCUUCUUCCACCAAUCUUUUUCCAAAUUCUUCGAAGUCGAAUUUUCACAUUCUUCAGGUUUUGGAGAAACUCUAGUUGUAUUUACUGAUGAAUUCUUGUUUUUCGUCUUCUUUGAUCUCAAAGAAACAGGGGUAACCAUUUUGAUAAAUACCCCUCCAUUUUCAAUACUCUUGCUUCUCAUCAUCAUCUUCGCCUUCCUAAUUUGUUCAUUCUUCUUAAU
rnacentral:misc_RNA from 1 species